rnacentral:lncRNA from 1 species
GUUUAGUCUAGGGGCACUGCAGAAAUUGGCCUUACAUCUUUGCUUUCAAGCUGCAUUUGAGCCCUGUUGUGUAAUUGCCAUUUGCAUGCCAGAGGGAUUGCGUAGGGGUGCUACCCAGAUCAAAGUUGCAUUCAUCUGGGCUUGGGUGUAUUAGCUGUAAUUAGUAAUGUAAUUUUAGGAGACAAUGCCACAUUUGUAAGGUGAACAGAAACUACAGCAGCACUUCAGCAGAAAAGCAGUGGUGGUGCCGCCUGUUCCUCUCCCAGUAGCAGAAACUAAUUGCAGUGGGAGGUAUUCAUCUUAUACACAUGCACACAAAAAUAAUAAAAUCUGACACAUUUCCAAACUAGCAUGAAAUACGAACUGAAAUGCAGGUACUUUAGGUUUGUGGCUCUUACCGGUGGAAAGAAAGUGCUGCAAGGAGUGGGUAUUUGCUUUGUGCUGAGCAGGGAAAUGGGAGCAACACUCAUAUCCAGGCUGAAUAAAUCCUUCGACGGCAUUCUUUGCGCGUGGCUGUUUGAUGUGCUUCCAGCAGCUUCAAACACAGGAGGCAUCCAAACUGUAAAGAGCCAAAACUCCACCGUGGCAGGAGCCUUGAACAGCAGCGGGGCAGGCUGGCAGUGCCUUGCAGGACCAAAGAUGCUCACCCAGCAGGCAAGGAGACAGCUGAAUCCCUCUGCUCUCCCGUGACGUGGCAGUGCUGGGAGUGCCUUUCUUAGCGUGGACUUUAUUAAGCUGCUCCAAACCAACAAGCCAAGCUCCCCACCAGCAUUCGACCACUGCGCCAAGAGGAAAAUAAUGAGGUUAAAAGCACUGCACAGCAGAAACAUAUGGGACUACAAAGAGGUUGGGAUUGCCAGAGAGUCCAGCACGGUCAUAUCAGGGUGCUAGGGAUGGUGCUACUGCAGUGUUUGUUGAGGCUGGUGGAGGCGAUAUGUGGCUGGUGGCCGUGAGCACCUUCCUUGGACAGAAAGCGAUACAUCUGAUCAGCUUUGGCCACUUCUGAGUGCCACAGGAGCCUGGGGAGCCCAGCUUUCUCCUUUGCUUUGUCCUCUGACUUCAGAGCGUGGCUUUCCUUUUUAGUUCCCUUCUGUGUUUAUAACGGGCCAAACUUCCCACAUACUGGGUGAGGAUGCUUCUGACUGGAGCGAUUUAGGAGUUUGAAUAAAGCAGCUCUUGUUAAAAAUGCUGAUUUGUCA